GAUGAACGCUGGCGGCGUGCCUAACACAUGCAAGUCGAGCGAACAGAUAAGGAGCUUGCUCCUUUGACGUUAGCGGCGGAUGGGUGAGUUACACGUGGAUAACCUACCUAUAAGACUGGGAUAACUUCGGGAAACCGGAGCUAAUACCGGAUAACAUAUUGAACCGCAUGGUUCAAUAGUGAAAGGCGGCUUUGCUGUCACUUAUAGAUGGAUCCGCGCCGUAUUAGCUAGUUGGUAAGGUAACGGCUUACCAAGGCAACGAUACGUAGCCGACCUGAGAGAGUGAUCGGCCACACUGGAACUGAGACACGGUCCAGACUCCUACGGGAGGCAGCAGUAGGGAAUCUUCCGCGAUGGGCGAAAGCCUGACGGAGCAACGCCGCGUGAGUGAUGAAGGUCUUCGGAUCGUAAAACUCUGUUAUCAGGGAAGAACAAAUGUGUAAGUAACUGUGCACAUCUUGACGGUACCUGAUCAGAAAGCCACGGCUAACUACGUG
rnacentral:rRNA from 1 species